GGGGGCGCACCGGCUUCGACGGGGAACAACGCGGUUCGCAGGUUGCGUGUCGAGUUUCCGCUCGUUAAAACGGAACCCUAUAUGUGCCAACGAUAACUUGGCUCUGGCUGCUUAACUAGCGGCCACGUGCCGGCCGGGGCGUGAUUCGCCGCGUCGGUCGGGGCGACACUAAUGCGGAUCAAUGGGUGCGGCAGGCCUCGGGGUCGCACCCGGAUACUUUCUGAGGCUGGCUUGGUGCAUCGGUUUGCUUUUGUCCACACCGCACCGGGCGAGACUUUCGAACAGAAGCUACUCACGUAGACGCCUGCGGGACGAGUUCUUCGGACGUGGGUUCGACUCCCACCGCCUCCACCA
rnacentral:tmRNA from 1 species